rnacentral:misc_RNA from 1 species
GAAACGCGAUAGGUAAUGUGAAUUGCAGAAUUCCGUGAAUCAUCGAAUCUUUGAACGCACAUUGCGCCUUCUGGUAUUCCGGUAGGCAUGCCUGUCUGAGCGUCAGCAAAACAUCCUCAGCCUGAGUAUUAUUUUUUUGUACUUAAUGCUGGUCUUGGGUAGUUGGAUGCCGGUGUGGUUAAUUCUUCCCCACCUGCGCCCUCCCUAAACUUGCUGUACGACCGCAAGCCCCUUCUAGCCAGGUCAAUGGAGUGGUAUUACAAUCUUUCCAAAAAGCCUGCUGGUAAACUGCUUUGCGGCGUUAAACGAUAAGAGUCCUCCCUCCGUGGGAGGCUUGAAGUUUUGACCUCAGAUCAGACAAGGAUACCCGCUGAACUUAA